UUUGUCAGAUGCCUAGUUUGUGACUACUGUUUCCUAUACUGUGGGUUGUGUGUUUACCCUGCUGAUAUUUCUUCUGCCUUGCAGAAGAUUUUCGGUUUCAUUAGGUCCUAUUGAUCUUAUUCUAUUUUUAUAUUUUUGCGUUUGCUUUUGGGGCAUUAGUCAUGACUACUUGGCCUAAGCCAAUGUCUAGAAAAGCUUUUUGGAUGCUAUCUUGUAGCAUUUUUAGACUUUCAGGUCUUAGAUGGAAGUUUUUAUAUGCUUUGUUAAAGAUCAGGUGACUGAAAGUACCGGGCUUUGUUUCUCGGUUCUCUAUUCUGUUCCAUUGCUCUAUGUGCCUAUUUUUAUACUUCCUGCACCAUUUAUUGAAUAAAGUGUCCUUUCCCCAAUUAGUGUUUUUGCAUACUUUGUUGAAGAUUAGUUGUCUGUAAGCAUUUGGCUUUAUUUCUGGGUUCUCUAUUCUGUUCCAUUGCUCUAUGUGCCUAUUUUUAUACUUCCUGCACCAUUUAUUGAAUAAAGUAUCCUUUCCCCAAUUAAUGUUUUUGUGUACUUUGUUGAAGAUUAGUUGUCUGUAAGCAUUUGGCUUUAUUUCUGGGUUCUCUAUUCUGUUCUAUUGCUCUAUGUGCAUAUUUUAUACCAGUAUCAUGCUAUUUUGGUGAUUGUAGCCUUGUAGUAUAAUUUAAAGCCUGCCUUCAGAUUUGUUCUUUUUGCAAAGUAUUGCUUUGGAUAUGCGGUCACGUUUUUGGUUUUGUAUAAAUUUUAGGAUUCUUUUUUCUAGUUCUGGGAAGGAGAAUGAUGAUAUUUUGAUGAGAAUUCUACUGCUCUGUAGAUGGCUUUGGAGAGUAUGGUCACUUUCACAAUAUUGAUUCUACCUAUUCAUAAGCUUAUAAUGUGUUCCCAUUUGUUUGUGUCAACUGUGAUUUCUUUCAGCACUAUUUUGUAGUUUUCCUUGUAGGAAACUUACAUUAACCUACUUGGUUAAGUAUAUUUCUAAGUAUUUUACUUAUUAAAAAUUCUCAGGGAAAUGCAAAGUAAAACUGAGGUGGGAAAUUAAAGAAAAAUAAAAUUAAAAAGAAAGGGAAAUAAGCUUUCUUGUAUUAAGCUAACUUGUCCCAGAGGCAGCAACAGGCACAGCCCAGACCCAGGAAAAGUCUUGAUAAUAUUAUUUAUUGUAUUCUGGAGACUCUUCCAGCACUCCUUCAAUGUAGGGAGAAGAAAAACAAAUUUUCCUUUGUUUUAUGGUAUGAGUUUAUAGAUUCUUGUUCUCUUUAACUAGUAACUUCAAGUAUUCUGUUUUAUCUAAGAAGUAUGGCAAAGGUCAUGAGAAGCCUGAGCAGGCCUGAACUACAGCUCUCUAGGCACCAUAGUGAAGAUAAACCAAUGCAAGCCUCUUUAGAGCAAAACCUAGAUAAUAGACAUCUGGGUUGCAUAGCAACAGUUAUGUGCAAUCCUGAGUUAUGAACCUGUUACAAUUUGAUUAACUGUCUUUUUCCUGCCUCUGUAUCCCUGCUUUCACACCACUGUAAGCUUGCUUCAAGCUGGCCCACCCCCUUUUGUGAAGUGUGUAUAAAAGUCAAGUGCUGUCUUUGUUCCAGGCCCUGUCUUUGGACGUGAGUCUGCUGGGCCUGAGAGCACUCAAUAAAAGAUUCUCCUGUUUUAACCCAAAGCCUCUCUCUCAUCCUCCUAAAUCCCACAACAAAACCACAAUGAGAUGCUAUCUUAAUCUUGCUAGAAGCCCAUAAUUUAAAAGUCAGAAAACAAUAGAUGUUGGCAUAGAUGUGGUCAAAAGGGAGCACUUUGACACUGCUAGUGGGAAUUUAAACUAGUCCGACCACUAUGGUAAACAGUAUGGGGAUUCCUUAAAGAACUAAAAGUAGACCAUUCAUUCCAGCAAUCCCAUUACUGGCUAUCUACCCAAAGGAAAAGAAGUUAUUCCAUAAAAAAGACACAAGAAUAUGGAUGUUUAUAGCAGCCGAUUCGCAAUUGCAGUGAUAUGGGACCAACUUAAGUGCCCAUCAACGAACGAGUGGAUAAAGCAAAUGUGGUACACCAUGGAAUAAUACUUGAUAAUAAAAAGGAACAAAAUAAUGUCCUUUGCAACAAGUUGGAUGGAACUGGAAGCCAUUAUUCUAAGUGAAGUAACUGAGGAAUGGCAAAUCAAAUAUUGAAUGUUUUCACUUUUAAAUGAGAGUUAAGCUAUGAGAAUGCAAAGGCAUAAGAAUGAUAUAAUGGACUUGGGGACUCGGGGAAAGGUUGGGAGGGGGAUGAGGAAUAAAUGAUGACAUAUUGGGUAUAUUAUACACUGCUCAGGAGACAGAUGCCUCAAAAUCUCAGAAAUUACCACUAAGGAACUUUUAUCCACAUAACCAAAAACCACAUAUAUUCCACACACUAUUGAAAGAAACAUAAACAUUAUUUUAAAAAAUAAAGCCACUUUUAAAAUUAGCAAAAUAAAAUAAAUAUGUCUUCAGAGUUUAGAUAUUGGAUCCAAAUUAGACAGAUCAAAUACUGCCUUUACUAAAUAUUUUCAUGUCAUUAACAACUUCUAAAACCUUUCAAACAGUUUUUUGACAUGUCUUGGAACCAUCCAUUUCUAGCUAAGGCCUGGGCACCUGUGAAAUAGGGCCAUGCCCCCCCUUAUACUGGGAAGAGUAAGAUAUUUCAAGACUAAGAUGUUUUCUACAGCUCCAUCUUUUUCUUUAAGCUCUACAUCAAGGACAUAAUUAAAAUUGGUUGUCUCCUAAGUGGUUUACUAAAAAUGCAUACUUAAGAGUUACCAUUAUAAUUAAUAUUUGUAUCUAAAGCUACUUAAAAAUUUUCACACACAAAUCUGACUGAACAAGUAAAAUAUAUUUUAAGUCAAAGUUUAUAAAAGGACAUGAGAACAUAGCUUUUAUGAAAAAAUUAGUUUUGUCAAGUUUAGAGGUUUUCAAAUAUUUUAAAUUCAGGAAAUAAAAUAACAAAAAGACAAAAGAAAAUGGUUGAACAACUUAGAAAAGGUUUGUUAAAAUUCAUCUUAUAAAACAAUCUACAUGUAAAAAGUGGGCUAAAAUUUGAAAGAGAUUAUUUAGGUUUUCCAUAAAUUAAUCCAGAAGGGGUAGGAAGUCUUAAGAAUGAGGAAGGACAGGAGGAAGGGGAGGUCAUCCUGACACUGCAGAGGAGGGUCCUGGGCACCAGACUUGAGGAAGGGAUGAAAAUGCUGGGCAGACCUGUAGUGGGCCCUUGAGAUGGCAGAUAGUGGUUUCCAGAGAGAGGGCCAUUGUUUUCCAGUGCCCAGCACUGAGCAGAGAGAGUUUUGGGCAGUGUAAAAAAAAAAAGAGAACUUACCUCUUUCUCGUUUUAGAAAAAGAACAGUCUAAGAAUAUCAGCAGGGAAACUCUCAGUGCUUCAAGGGGUUAAACGCCCUUUUGGCUUUCUUGUGUUGGUUUCAUCAUAGAGGAGGAGAAACUUCUUGGAAGUGUUCCUAAAAACACAACACGUCUGCUUCUCCUUUCAAAAAAGGAAGUGCUAAAACACGAACACUCUAGAUCCAAAUAUUAAUACGGAUGUCUAAAUGCUUCCGUUUUCCAAGGGGCAGAAAGCUAAA
rnacentral:lncRNA from 10 species